CCUACGGGAGGCAGCAGUGGGGAAUAUUGGGCAAUGGGCGCAAGCCUGACCCAGCAACGCCGCGUGAAGGAAGAAGGCUUUCGGGUUGUAAACCUCUUUUCUCAGGGACGAAGAAAGUGACGGUACCUGAGGAAUAAGUCACGGCUAACUACGUGCCAGCAGCCGCGGCAAUACGUAGGUGGCAAGCGUUAUCCGGAUUUACUGGGUGUAAAGGGUGUGUAGGCGGGACUGCAAGUCAGGUGUGAAAACCAUGGGCUCAACCUGUAGACUGCAUUUGAUACUGUAGUUCUUGAGUACUGGGGAGGCAGACGGAAUUCGUGGUGUAGCGGUGAAAUGCGUAGAUAUUAGGAAGAACACCGAUGGCGAAGGCAGUCUACUAGACAGCAACUGACGCUGAGGCGCGAAAGCGUGGGGAGCAAACAGGAUUAGAUACCCGUGUAGUC
rnacentral:rRNA from 1 species